rnacentral:rRNA from 1 species
UACGAAGGGGGCAAGCGUUGUUCGGAAUUACUGGGCGUAAAGCGCACGUAGGCGGCGAUUUAAGUCAGAGGUGAAAGCCCGGGGCUCAACCCCGGAACUGCCUUUGAGACUGGAUUGCUAGAAUCUUGGAGAGGCGAGUGGAAUCCGAGUGUAGAGGUGAAAUUCGUAGAUAUUCGGAAGAACACCAGUGGCGAAGGCGGCUCGCUGGACAAGUAUUGACGCUGAGGUGCGAAAAGCGUGGGGGAGCAAACAGG